GUGCUCGCUUCAGUAGCACAUAUACUAAAAUUGGAACAAUACAGAGAAGAUUAGCAUGACCCCUGCACAAGGAUGACACGUAAAUUCAUGAAGCGUUCCAUAUUUUU
rnacentral:snRNA from 1 species